AAUUAUUUAAAAACCAAAAUAGAAAUUACUCCUCCCGAUAAUGAGAAUGAUUAGAGGAUUCAUAGGGCGAAACUCUUCAACCUAUUUUCAAACUUUCAGUGAGUUUGGCGUCUCGCUUGCUUGAAUGAAGCGUAGACAUUGAAUGUAUGUCCAAGUGGGCCAUUUUUGGUGAGCAGAACUGGUGCUGUGGGAUGAACCAAACGUUGAGUUAAAUUUUUGUA
rnacentral:ncRNA from 1 species